AGCAGUGUUUACCAAUGAACACACUCUGAACUAGCAUGAGUUAGAUUAAAUUAUCUAUAACAUAGAUAAGCAACCAGUUUAAUUUUCCUCUUCAGAUUCUUAUUUUCACACUUUCUAUUCUAAAUCAGAUUUUUGAUUGGGCUAGGGAAAGAUUUUCAUUGCAAGAGGUAAAGGGGGCUUUUCAGUGCAUUUUCUUCCUUGCUUCCUGAAAUUCUGGGCUGUGGACUUGGGAAGAGAAGUGGUUCAGCUAUUGGAACUGAACACAUUUAAACAAACAGGCAGUAAUGUUUUGACCUUCUGGAUCCUGGCUUGAAGUGGGUAUUACAAACAAGCCAACACUCUGGAUGGAGGAGCAGGGGAGAUGAAUCUGAAUUCCAACCCGAAAAUAGCUGGAAGAAGCAAAAAUCCCCAGGACCCUGGACCAACAGGGAUUAAGAUCAGAGACAGGCGAAAGGAUCCAAGUGGCCAUGUGCACUGCUCCAGGGAACAGCAAAAGCCUGAGAUUGCCAGAGGCCCAGGGAGCUGAUGAGCCAGAGGCCCAGGGAGCUGAUGAGUGGGAGAACAUGGCAGAAAGCCACAUGGGUAAUCAAAGGGCCCCUUCCCUGAGGCCUUGACUUCGACAGCAAAUCCAGAUGCAACUAAAGGCUCAGAGAAUAGAUCUACACGUG